UACAAAGGGGGCUAGCGUUGCUCGGAAUUACUGGGCGUAAAGCGCACGUAGGCGGCUUUCUAAGUCGGGGGUGAAAUCCUGGAGCUCAACUCCAGAACUGCCUUCGAUACUGGAGAGCUCGAGUCCGGGAGAGGUGAGUGGAACUGCGAGUGUAGAGGUGAAAUUCGUAGAUAUUCGCAAGAACACCAGUGGCGAAGGCGGCUCACUGGCCCGGUACUGACGCUGAGGUGCGAAAGCGUGGGGAGCAAACAGG
rnacentral:rRNA from 1 species